UACGUAGGGAGCGAGCGUUACUCGGAAUCACUGGGCAUAAAGGGCGCGUAGGCGGGCCCGUAAGUCCGAUGUAAAAGCCCCCGGCUCAACCGGGGAAGGCCAUCGGAGACUGCGAGCCUGGAGUGCGGGAGGGGAGAGUGGAACUCUUGGUGGAGCGGUGAAAUGCGUAGAUAUCAAGAGGAACGCCGGUGGUGAAAACGGCUCUCUGGUCCGCAACUGACGCUGAGGCGCGAAAGCUAGGGGAGCAAACGGG
rnacentral:rRNA from 1 species